rnacentral:tRNA from 1 species
GGGGCUAUGGCUUAGUGGUGGAGUUCUUGCCUUAUAUGCACAAGGCUCUGGGUUUGAGCCCCAGCAUCAUCA